UGCCCUAGUAACGGCGAGUGAAGCGGCAACAGCUCAAAUUUGAAAUCUGGCUCUCGGGCCCGAGUUGUAAUUUGUAGAGGAUACUUUUGAUGCGGUGCCUUCCGAGUUCCCUGGAACGGGACGCCAUAGAGGGUGAGAGCCCCGUCUGGUUGGAUGCCAAAUCUCUGUAAAGUUCCUUCGACGAGUCGAGUAGUUUGGGAAUGCUGCUCUAAAUGGGAGGUAUAUGUCUUCUAAAGCUAAAUACCGGCCAGAGACCGAUAGCGCACAAGUAGAGUGAUCGAAAGAUGAAAAGCACUUUGAAAAGAGAGUUAAAAAGUACGUGAAAUUGUUGAAAGGGAAGCGUUUAUGACCAGACUUGGGCUUGGUUAAUCAUCUGGGGUUCUCCCCAGUGCACUUUUCCAGUCCAGGCCAGCAUCAGUUUUCGCCGGGGGAUAAAGACUUCGGGAAUGUGGCUCUCUUCGGGGAGUGUUAUAGCCCGUUGUGUAAUACCCUGACGGGGACUGAGGUUCGCGCAUCUGCAAGGAUGCUGGCGUAAUGGUCAUCAACGACCCGUCUUGAAACACGGACCAAGGAGUCGUCUUCGUAUGCGAGUGUUCGGGUGUCAAACCCCUACGCGUAAUGAAAGUGAACGCAGGUGAGAGCUUCGGCGCAUCAUCGACCGAUCCUGAUGUUCUCGGAUGGAUUUGAGUAAGAGCAUACGGGGCCGGACCCGAAAGAAGGUGAACUAUGCCUGUAUAGGGUGAAGCCAGAGGAAACUCUGGUGGAGGCUCGCAGCGGUUCUGACGUGCAAAUCGAUCGUCAAAUAUGGGCAUG
rnacentral:rRNA from 1 species